rnacentral:rRNA from 1 species
GGACUACCGGGGUUUCUAAUCCCGUUUGCUCCCCUGGCUUUCGUGUCUCAGCGUCAGCAUGUCCCCAGCUACCUGUUUUCACCAUUGGCGUUCCAAAUGAUAUCUACGCAUUUCACCGCUCCACCAUUUGUUCCGGUAGCCCCUAGACAGCUCAAGAUAACCAGUAUACCCAGCAGUUCCACGGUUGAGCCGUGGGAUUUCACAAGGUACUUAGAAAUCCGCCUACACACGCUUUAAGCCCAGUGAUUCCGCCUAACGCUUGGCACCUCUGUCUUACCGCGGCUGCUGGCAC